rnacentral:rRNA from 1 species
CUGAACCAGCCAAGUAGCGUGAAGGAUGACUGCCCUAUGGGUUGUAAACUUCUUUUAUAAAGGAAUAAAGUCGGGUAUGCAUACCCGUUUGCAUGUACUUUAUGAAUAAGGAUCGGCUAACUCCGUGCCAGCAGCCGCGGUAAUACGGAGGAUCCGUGCGUUAUCCGGAUUUAUUGGGUUUAAAGGGAGCGUAGAUGGAUGUUUAAGUCAGUUGUGAAAGUUUGCGG